rnacentral:tRNA from 1 species
CCCAGCAUAAAGCGUUACGGACACGCGCCAGUCUGUAAAACUGGUGACUUCGGUCUGGCUUGGUUCAACUCCAAGGGCUGGGA